GUUGGCAAAAAUUAGUUGAUAAAAACAAAUUAAGACAGAUAAUGCAGAUGCCAAUGAAUGUAUAAGUUGAGAAUUCCUCAUUACCUCGACAUUUCAGAUCUUUACACCUCUCUGGCUUAUUUGCAUCCACCCGGGCUGAUCGUCUCCUUCAUCACUUUCAGAAAUAUGCCUGUAAUCCUGACUGGCCUCACAGUGUCUGUUUCUCAGCCAGCACCAUGCCGACAGGAGCUUGAGAAACGGUCUCUGAAAAAGAGGCGUAUAUCAAACGCAGGAAUGCUUUCUGAGUAAAGUCCGAGACAUAUGCGGAGCUCAGGGAAGACCAGGAUCCCCCAUGUGAGCUGCAUUCCAGAUUCAAAGCAAAGCGUGUGUGAGCAUGGUGUGGGCUCAGGACACAUACAAAGCUUUUCGUCUUUGAAGACCGAACCUACACAUCUUAUAUUAACCCCAGAAGCAGUGAAUCACUCGCCCUGCUGCUUCUGUCUGCGCAGCAUCUGCUGUGCUUGUUAUUGAGAUUCCCCGCUGACAGCUGGGCUCUGGAAAACCUAUGGAGGAGAAGGAAUCCUGGCGUUCCUGGCACUGUCAUGUGGGAGGAAGAUGUUUCAGGCUCGCAGCUCAGACUAGGUCAAUAGCACGUCCUGUUACAGCCCUGUUCUCUGUCCAGCUGUGCAGUGAUUCAUUUCAGAGCUUGAGGGAUCGAAACGGCGCUCAGAUCAACAGCAGCGGGAUUUUUGAGAUUUUAGAAGGCUCUUCGGUGAGGAGUGGAAUCUGCUGUUUUUUCCGACAGCUCAA
rnacentral:lncRNA from 1 species